AUACGGAGGAUGCGAGCGUUAUCCGGAUUUAUUGGGUUUAAAGGGAGCGCAGGCGGAGAUGCAAGCGUGACGUCAAAUUUCGGGGCUCAACCCCGUCUCGCGUCGCGAACUGCGUCCCUUGGUUGCGGGAAGGGGAGGCGGAACUCGUGGUGUAGCGGUGGAAUGCAUAGAUAUCACGAAGAACUCCGAUCGCGAAGGCAGCCUUCCGGCCCGUCAACGACGCUCAUGCUCGAAGGUGCGGGUAUCAAACAGGAUUAGAUACCCUGGUAGUCCGCACAGUAAACGAUGGACACCCGCGGUUUGGCCUGUAUGGCUGAGCCGCCAAGCGAAAGCGUUAAGUGUCCCACCUGGGGAGUACGCCGGCAACGGUGAAACUCAAAGGAAUUGGCGGGG
rnacentral:rRNA from 1 species